rnacentral:rRNA from 1 species
AACGAACGCUGGCGGCAGGCCUAACACAUGCAAGUCGAACGCCCUGGUAACAGGGAGUGGCAGACGGGUGAGUAACGCGUGGGAAUCUACCUUGUGGUACGGAACAACCAAGGGAAACUUUGGCUAAUACCGUAUGAGCCCUUCGGGGGAAAGAGUUAUCGCCAUAAGAUGAGCCCGCGUCGGAUUAGCUAGUUGGUGGGGUAAUGGCCUACCAAGGCGACGAUCCGUAGCUGGGCUGAGAGGAUGACCAGCCACACUGGGACUGAGACACGGCCCAGACUCCUACGGGAGGCAGCAGUGGGGAAUAUUGGACAAUGGGCGCAAGCCUGAUCCAGCCAUGCCGCGUGUGAUGAAGGCCUUAGGGUUGUAAAGCACUUUCGCCGAUGAAGAUAAUGACUGUAGUCGGAGAAGAAGCCCCGGCUAACUUCGUGCCAGCCGCCGCCGUAACAC